UACGUAGGGUGCGAGCGUUGUCCGGAAUUAUUGGGCGUAAAGAGCUUGUAGGCGGUUUGUCGCGUCUGCUGUGAAAAUCCGGGGCUCAACCCCGGACUUGCAGUGGGUACGGGCAGACUAGAGUGUGGUAGGGGAGACUGGAAUUCCUGGUGUAGCGAUGAAAUGCGCAGAUAUCAGGAGGAACACCGAUGGCGAAGGCAGGUCUCUGGGCCACUACUGACGCUGAGAAGCGAAAGCAUGGGGAGCGAACAGG
rnacentral:rRNA from 1 species